rnacentral:rRNA from 1 species
UUAUCUGAACCUUCGGGGAACGAUAACGGCGUCGAGCGGCGGACGGGUGAGUAAUGCCUAGGAAAUUGCCCUGAUGUGGGGGAUAACCAUUGGAAACGAUGGCUAAUACCGCAUGAUGCCUACGGGCCAAAGAGGGGGACCUUCGGGCCUCUCGCGUCAGGAUAUGCCUAGGUGGGAUUAGCUAGUUGGUGAGGUAAGGGCUCACCAAGGCGACGAUCCCUAGCUGGUCUGAGAGGAUGAUCAGCCACACUGGAACUGAGACACGGUCCAGACUCCUACGGGAGGCAGCAGUGGGGAAUAUUGCACAAUGGGCGCAAGCCUGAUGCAGCCAUGCCGCGUGUGUGAAGAAGGCCUUCGGGUUGUAAAGCACUUUCAGUCGUGAGGAAGGUGGUGUAGUUAAUAGCUGCAUUAUUUGACGUUAGCGACAGAAGAAGCACCGG